UACAGAGGUCCCAAGCGUUGUUCGGAUUCACUGGGCGUAAAGGGUGCGUAGGCGGUCGGGUAAGUCUGAUGUGAAAUCUCACAGCUUAACUGUGAAACUGCAUUGGAUACUAUCCGGCUCGAGGAAUGGAGGGGAGACUGGAAUACUUGGUGUAGCAGUGAAAUGCGUAGAUAUCAAGUGGAACACCAGUAGCGAAGGCGAGUCUCUGGACAUUUCCUGACGCUGAGGCACGAAAGCGUGGGGAGCAAACAGG
rnacentral:rRNA from 1 species